rnacentral:rRNA from 1 species
CGGGGUGCACCAGGCGCGAAAACUUUGCAAUGCGGGAAACCGUGACAAGGGAACUCUGAGUGCCCGUUAAAUCGGGCUGUCCAUCGGUUUAAAUAACCGGUGAAGAAAGGGCCGGGCAAGACCGGUGCCAGCCGCCGCGGUAACACCGGCGGCUCGAGUGGUGGCCACUAUUACUGGGCUUAAAGCGUUCGUAGCUGGUUUGUUAAGUCUCUGGGGAAAUCUUCCGGCUUAACCGGAAGGCGUCUCAGGGAUACUGGCAGACUAGGGACCGGGAGAGGUGAGAGGUACUCCAGGGGUAGGAGUGAAAUCCUGUAAUCCUUGGGGGACCACCUGUGGCGAAGGCGUCUCACCAGAACGGCUCCGACAGUGAGGGACGAAAGCUGGGGGAGCAAACCGGAUUAGAUACCCGGGUAGUCCCAGCUGUAAACGAUGCGCGUUAGGUGUAUCGGUGACCACGAGUCACCGAGGUGCCGAAGAGAAAUCGUGAAACGUGCCGCCUGGGAA